UUUUUUCAUUAUUUUUCGGGGGAAACGCCGGCCUAAGACCCCCAGUAAUUAAUUCCCAUAGUUAACAUGAGAGGGUUCAGGGUUUAGCAAUCAAUAAGCAGACUCAUCUCCUAGGUUCCCACACCCCUUAACUUAUUU